rnacentral:rRNA from 1 species
UACGUAGGGACCAAGCGUUGUUCGGAUUUACUGGGCGUAAAGGGCGCGUAGGCGGCAAUUCAAGUCAUCUGUGAAAUCUCCGAGCUUAACUCGGAACGGUCAGAUGAUACUGCUUUGCUAGAGUGCAGAAGGGGCAACCGGAAUUCUUGGUGUAGCGGUGAAAUGCGUAGAUAUCGAGAGGAACACCGGUGGCGAAGGCGGGUCUCUGGGCCGAUGACUGACGCUGAGGAGCGAAAGCGUGGGGAGCGAACAG